rnacentral:lncRNA from 1 species
CCUUCUUUAAGCUUUAUGUGGUUAACGAACGUUGUCGCGAGUGAGCUCAGCAGACUCGUAGGCAGAGUGAAGCAUGUCUUCACUGCACUUUCAGGCCUUCAAAGUUAUCAAUAUUCUUUUGAGAGUGGGAGGACCUGAGUCACAGUUUUAAAUGUCAGCCGUAUUAGCUGAGGUCAUGAAUUCUUUUCACCUUCACAUCUGGCCAAAGAUAAAGAGAAAAAUAUUUUCUGACUUUUUUUAUUCCCUCUUUUCUUAAAUACCACAGUGUUCGAAUUCAUGAUAUGAGUGGACUAUUUCUGAGGGGGAGAAAAAAAAAUCAUCAAUGAUGAUCCUUUUGACUCCUACUAAUAUUUAGCCAAAUGACAUAGUUGCCAGAGGCUAGACCUAGCGAAAUCUAAUGAAAGGGG